UACGUAGGGCGCAAGCGUUGUCCGGAAUUAUUGGGCGUAAAGAGCUCGUAGGCGGUUUGUCGCGUCUGCUGUGAAAACUCGGGGCUUAACUCCGGGCCUGCAGUGGGUACGGGCAGACUAGAGUGCGGUAGGGGAGACUGGAAUUCCUGGUGUAGCGGUGAAAUGCGCAGAUAUCAGGAGGAACACCGGUGGCGAAGGCGGGUCUCUGGGCCAUAACUGACGCUGAGAAGCGAAAGCAUGGGGAGCGAACAGG
rnacentral:rRNA from 1 species